GUUAUUGUAGCACCCUAAUAAUUUAGAAACUUGUUUUCUCAAUUUUCUAUAAUAUAAAUUUUCAAAUAAAAUAAAAAUAAAUCUAGUGAAGAUACUCCAAUAGCGUAUGUAGUUGAUGUUCCCCCAAACUAGUCCCAUACAUACAAUAAAUGCAAAAAUAGAACCGGUGUCUAUACAUUGUGAGCUCAACUCCAUGGAGGAGCUCCCUUGUAAAGAACCUGGCUCCAAACAAAAAAUAAAUCAUGCUUUAUUUAUUUACCAUUCUUCUCUUUCUUCUUGUUGGUGCUUCAGCUGCAACGAAGAACUUAUCAUCAUUGUGCUUGCUCGGACCCCCAAGUCACUCUGCGCCGGCUCAGCUCACCUUGGGCCAUGGACUAAGCCCCCAUCGAAGCUCUAGAUCUGGGCAAAGGAGUCUAUGUCACAGGAGCUAAAGGAGCUAGGGACGACGGUGGCUCAGGAGGACGAGCUCCUCACACUCGCACACUUCAAAGAUCUAGGACUCCAGGGCGACAGAGAAGGAGGACAACGCACUUUGAGGGACAAUGACUCCUGGGCAUUGUGGACAGGGGGUGGUGGCGGUAGCCUCCAUGGCUGCAUUAAAUCCAGUGAUAAGGGAACUGAGGGGAGAGAAAGAGAGAGAGAUACCACAACCUUUACCGGUGAGGAGGGAGGAUGAAUUGGAUGGGGAUUACAGUGGCGUGAAUGAAAGAGGCGAAUCGAGGAGGCGUGGCUUCAGAAGAAGAAAAAAAGAGUGGUAGGAUUAUUUUGAUGGACGGAGAUGGGUGCAUG
rnacentral:lncRNA from 1 species